rnacentral:rRNA from 1 species
UACGAGAGGCCCAAACGUUAUUCGGAUUUACUGGGCUUAAAGAGUUCGUAGGCGGUCUAGCAACUGAGGUGUGAAAGCCCUCGGCUCAACCGAGCAAUUGCGCUUCAAACUGCUAGGCUCGAGGGAGAUAGAGGUGAGCGGAACUGAUGGUGGAGCGGUGAAAUGCGUUGAUAUCAUCAGGAACACCAGAGGCGAAGGCGGCUCACUGGGUCUUUUCUGACGCUGAGGAACGAAAGCUAGGGGAGCAAACGGG